CUAUAUAUAUAUAUAGCUAUUGUAUGAUAAUAUCUUAUAACAAGUCUGGUUAUUUAUUGGUUGUCAUGGCGACACAAGUGUGUGUAGCUUGUCUCUGAGUCAGAGAAAUACUUCACUGCUUAGAGGCACCUCUCUGUUAGUAACCAGAGUAAAGUCUUUGAUGUUCAAUAUGUAUUUUGAGAUGAUUUAAGGUUUUAGCCUUGUAGAGAAGAUGGUGAGACUGUAUGAAGGAGAAUGAGUGUUAGGGUGUGAGGAAGGGUGAGAAGAUGAAAGAAGGGUGAGAAGAUGAGAGUUAGGAUGAGAGUUAAGGUGAAAAGAUGAGUUUAGGGCGAGAAGAUGAGAGUUGGGGCGAGAGUAUGGAAGUUAAGGUGAAAAGAUGAGUUUAGGGUGAGAGCUAGGAUGAGAGUUAGGGUGAGGGAUGAGAGUUAAGGUGAAAAGAUGAGUUUAGAGUUAGAGGAUGAGAUUUAGGAUGAGGGGAUGAGAGUUGGGGUGAUGGGUGAGAGUUAAGGUGAAAAGAUAAGUUUAGAGUAAGAGGAUGAGAUUUAGGGUAAGGGGAUGAGAGUUGGGUGAGCGUUAAGGUGAAAAGAUGAGUUUAGAGUAAGAGGAUGAGAUUUAGGGUGAGGGGAUGAGAGUUAAGGUGAAAAGAUAAGAGUUAGGGUGAGAGUAUGAGAGUUAAGGUGAAAAGAUAAGAGUUAGUGUGAAAAAAAGAGAGUUGGCGUUAGAGGAUGAGUAUUAGGGGGGAGGGGAUACAAGGAUGUGCCAGUGUGAUGGUGUGUAUGUAACUGUUUAUCUAUGUAACCAUAUAUUCUAAUACUCAAACAGUAAUACAUGUACAUAGAUUUUAACAGAAUACUGGUGAUAGAAACAUUUUCAUCAAAUGGUUUUGAAGCUGUACAGGCUUUGAAGUUUCCUGAAUUGUAUGGUAAUGUAUUAUCGGGGUUUAAUGUCAGUUAUUUUAAUGAUGGCAAUAUACAUACUAUAGUGAAAACACAGAAUACUCAGAAUUACUAACAAUUGUCACCGGUUAACCUCACAAGUAACUUCUAUAGCAAAGUCUGAUAAGUUAAUAGAUGUGAAAUUCAGCAAAGUCCAUUUGAUAUGUGUAGUUCCUUAAUGUAUUAUACCAAUUAAAUUGUGUCUUACGCAAAAUGUUUUUACAAAGAGAGUUUUGUAUAAGGGUGUAUGCUAGUUAACUCACUCCCAUGGCCACAUCCUACCUUGGUGAUGGUCAUAUUUUAUCUGGAGUUAGUGUCAGUAAUAUUUUUGUAUAUUGUAGUAAGCAAUACUGUCUGGAAAUGAACAAAAAGUCUUGAUAAAUAAAUAGGAUUCGUUUACACAAGGUGUUAGUGUCUGUUAAAGUUGACAAUGAGAGAAACAUUGUCAUGAUAUGUAUCUGAGGAGAGGAACAUGUUGUAGAUAUACAGUAGUGUACAGACAUUUAGUGUUAUAACAGGCUAAAUGUUUUAAAAAAUCAUGCUUAAUUUGACAUGAAGUUUCUUAACUUACUCAAUUUCCAAUUGUCGUAAUUGGGUCAUACAAUUUGUUAUGUCCACAACAUUGGUGGUAGGGUCUUGUUUUGGAACUUUUUACUGGUAAAAGUAUACUUUAUAUUUAUCAAAUUUUCAGAUUAUUUAUCUCACUUAAAAAAAUAAGAAGCAAAUACAGAGAUUUUCUGGAAAUUAAUUUAAUAUUGAUUGUAACGACAGGAUUUUUAAGACUGUAUGUUACCUAGUACAAUGUGCUUGUACGGUAUGUAGAUUUCAGGGAUAUCUUGUUUUCAAUUGUUGAAUUUAUUUGUGAAAGUGUCUUUUCUUUUUAUCACACGUGUUGAAUGUGUACAAAAUGCAGGUGAUGAAUGUGUACAAAAUGUUUUAAUUUAUAAAAUAUUGUGCCCUGGUGACUUACAAAAUAACAGUGAUAAAUAUAAACAUAAAUUCAAAACACAUGGUCCAAAUAUCACUUCCAAAACCAGUCUGUUAUAUAUAUAUUAGGCCAUUAUUCUGCAUUUGAAAUAUUUGUACUGAUAUUUAUAUUGAUUAAAACAAAAUUAAUAGGACACUUGUAUUUACCAGUUAAUUAGAAUUUAUUUUUUUUUCUUGUUAAUUGUGAAAGUACACAUGGUUUGAAAGACUGAAGGUUUGUGAGCAUGUUUUAAGCUGCCUAGUUGUAUUUGGUUGUUAAUUAGUUUUUAGUGAUUGUUUAAGUAUACUCAGCAGGACUAAGUUUUAAAUAGUUUUAUGUGAAGUUAUUAAAAUCUUAACUAAAAUGUAUUUAUUUGUGAAAUUUUCUGCGUCAGAUGCCAUUUUGUAGAAUGCUUUCUUUUAAGUUAUUGAAAUAAACACUGAAUAUAUAUACUUUAUAUAUAUAUAUGUUCUAUCAGGAAUUUCUAGUUUUUGGUCAUAAUACAACUCUUGUCUUUGGAUGAGGAGGGUGUGAAUAUUUAUUAACCUGAAGAUUGUGAUAUUAACCAACCAAAAACAAGUUUAUAUCACCAUCUAAGGGUUGAUAUAUGUAUCAAUAUUACAAAAGGUUACAGUGAGGUUAUUUUAUUAUAUGAUCAGUGAAAUUCAGAUGGACCUACUGUUGACCGAUGACUUGUUUAAAGAAAUUGUCUAAAAUCCAUAGUGGUGUUGCUCCUGUUGCUUUGACUAUGGUGUUGUACAUAAUACUGUGUAUACUACAGUUAUUGUCCAUUGACAAUUUUCCUAAAAUCUGACUAGGGAGUGCCAUGACACAAAUGUAAAGUUUUAAAUAUUCAAUCAUAAGUUAUAGACAACAUCGAUAUCAUAACGCUUACAUUUUGAUGAGCAGAAGACUUCCACCAAAACAAGACUUCCACCAAAACAAUCUUCAACUGGCCGUUCCAAUUCCUCUUCUGUCCAUGCAAACUCAUGCAUUAUUUAGCUGUACAUGUAUAUUUGUUGUUUUCUGGAGGUACUGUUGAUUUAUCUAUAUUCACAAGUAAAAGGUGGUGGUCAAGAUUCAGUCAUCUGUAGGAAAUUCUAUCCGAGGAAUUCAAGUCUGAACUGAGAAUUUCCAAGGUAUUGCGGAAGUUUAGUACUAACUAAAUUUUACACCCUCUGGUAAAUUCCCAUCCUCCACCCCUACAUAACUGUUAAAGACUCCAGCGUUAAGAUUUUCCUAUUUCCCAUACUAACACCACUGUUAUGGUCGCCUAAGAUAAAGAAUGUCCUAUCUCUCGCAUCUACAUCACUGUCAGUAUCAAAGGUAAGAUAUGUUUACUCGUGAAUUGGGCAAAGAGUUGAGUAAUUUUCUGAAUCUUGAUGUUGCUCUCAGCAGAGAUUUAAAAAAAAAUCUGAAUCUUUGUGAUGUGCCCAGCAGAUAUUUAAAUAUUCAAUUGAGGGAAAGCUGUAACUUCAGUGGACCAGUACGGUCAAUAUUCGUAGAGAAGCGGAAAUUACAAGUAUAAUUUUGAAUUAGAUUGCAAUAUAUCAUACCUCCCUGGUAAUAACUUUUUUUUCUACAACUGGAAAUGUGAUCAUAAUAUAUUUAACACCUAAUUACUGAAAUUGAACCCGAAAUAUUUUCAAGCAAUACAAAUAUAAUCUUGUCUAAUUUAAGUUCACUAAGCUUUGUCAGAGAAUAUAUUGUGUGAAUUGUAAUAUACAUGUACCUACAAUAUCUGCUUUCAUACUUAAUUGUAUCAUGCCUAGAGGAGUACAAUACCUAUAUAUAGAUACACAAUAUUUAGAUGAAAACCUUUUAACGGCAGUACUACCUGAUAUUGUUAACAGACAUACACUCAACAUUUUGGCUGGUGGUACAAAAUUACAUUUCCAUAAUGGUACAAGUAUCAUGUUAAUAUGUCUGUUGCUUUUGAGCAUAUGUUAUUAUGAAAAAUUUAAAAGAUUUUCUGAAAUAUUUUUUAAAGUUGUCAUAUAAUUUAUUUAUUAUUCUUAGUUCCAAGUAGAACCAACUUGUUAUUAUAAAUCUACAUGUCAUUACACUUGUAUGGUAGUUUGGUACUUUAAGACAUUUUAAAGUUCUUCAUUACAUACUGUUUUGUGUAAACAAUACUUAAAUACAUAGUCUUGUAUGAUAAUUAGGUUGUUUUGACCAAGUCGAUCAAAUAAACAAUCCUCCUUGUUAA